rnacentral:rRNA from 1 species
GUGGGGAAUCUUAGACAAUGGGGGCAACCCUGAUCUAGCCAUGCCGCGUGAUCGAUGAAGGCCUUAGGGUUGUAAAGAUCUUUCAGCUGGGAAGAUAAUGACGGUACCAGCAGAAGAAGCCCCGGCUAACUCCGUGCCAGCAGCCGCGGUAAUACGGAGGGGGCUAGCGUUGUUCGGAAUUACUGGGCGUAAAGCGCACGUAGGCGGAUCAGAAAGUCAGAGGUGAAAUCCCAGGGCUCAACCUUGGAACUGCCUUUGAAACUCCUGGUCUUGAGGUCGGGAGAGGUGAGUGGAAUUCCGAGUGUAGAGGUGAAAUUCGUAGAUAGUCGGAGGAACACCAGUGGCGAAGGCGGCUCACUGGCUCGAUACUGACGCUGAGGUGCGAAAGCGUGGGGAGCAAACAGGAUUAGAAACCCCAGUAGUCC